UUUUAUUUUGAGGUUUUUAUUAUUUCAUUUUUUGAGCUUAUGAACAAGAAGUUUAGAUUUUAUGGUUACUGCAUCCCCUGAAUGUUUGUAAAAAUGUUGGAUAUCUAUAAUGAUUUUCAUUUGUUUGUCACUUGGUAUAGUUUCGAAAGGAUUUUGGUAGUUUGAGCGAAACUUCUGCUUUUUAUGUAGUUAAUCCUGAGGUUGGCUCACUGCUUCAUUUGGGAAAUAGUCCAUUAGCGAUAUUGUUAUAUUUUUAUUGACUAAUAUAUAUAAUCUUGAACAAAUUGUUAGACUUGGCCAAUUUUAUAAUGUCUGCAGAUUAUAUUAACUCAUGAACACGUUGAUGGUGUUCUUAGUUUGGAUGAUAUACGUGUUGCAACCUUUUAGUGCAACAAAUGACAUUAACCUGACUCCCAUCUUUAUCUCACUCAAGAUUCAAUGGAAAAGUAUAUUGCACUUUGAAAGAGCGAUCCGUUAAAUGCGGUAUUGCAUUGGAAGAAGCCAGAGGCAAAUUAAAGGAGUGGAACUUGCAACUGAUUAUAUUAUUAGCCACACUAUGAAAAUUGUUCUUGAGCUCUUUCAACCGUCUCUGUGCUUUUCUUUGAAACUCUGCAGAUGAUUUUUUUUAGAUUUGUAGGGAUAGGUCCGGUUUCCAUGUAGCUGAAACGGCCGACAAGUCUUUGGCCAGACACCUUGAGGAUGACGAUAGUCACUCUCUCAUCAUAGAGACAUUAUUCGUUUUGUUUGAGGUAUUGCUACUCUUAGAAUCACUUAUUGUUAAUUCGAAGUAAUAACCGUCUUGCAGCCAAUGGGAGAUACAUCAGAAGAAAAGUUCAUACAAGUUAAAACAACUAAAAGAGUUCGACGUUUAGUGAAAAAAAUGCUUACAGUCAUUUGAUGGAGGUCAUCUUGGCAGUGGACCCUGAUACAAUUUACAACGAGAUAUCGAUAAAACGCUAAUAUCUUGAUUUUAUUUGUUAUGUAAGUAUAUAUAUAUAUAUAUAUAUAUAUACAGGGUUAUCACUUGAGGUAGUUCCUCAAGUUAAUUUAUACGUUGUUUACAGUUUUGGUUAUACUCUUAUUCUUAUAUAGUUUUUCCAACAGAAGUAGAACUGCUUUGAUUGUAACAUACUAUAGAAAACAAUUUUCAGUUUGGUUUUUGUGGAAAGCA